rnacentral:rRNA from 1 species
UACGGGGGGAGCUAGCGUUAUUCGGAAUUACUGGGCGUAAAGCGCACGUAGGCGGCUUUGUAAGUUAGAGGUGAAAGCCUGGUGCUCAACAUCAGAACUGCCUUUAAUACUGCAUCGCUUGAAUCCAGGAGAGGUGAGUGGAAUUCCGAGUGUAGAGGUGAAAUUCGUAGAUAUUCGGAAGAACACCAGUGGCGAAGGCGGCUCACUGGACUGGUAUUGACGCUGAGGUGCGAAAGCGUGGGGAGCAAACAGG